GUGAGCCUGCGAAAGAAGUUUGUGUGGGGACUGUGGGCAGUGAAUGCGUUGGGAACAAUAUGGAAAACUGGGAGCUGCCUUGGAAUCUACAGGGCCGGGACCCACUCGAGCCAUCCACACUUUCCCCAGCCUCCUCCAAAACAGCACACUUUCCGGCUGAAGAAAAGAAGAAUGGUAUUCAUGCAGUUCCCAUUUUACAGAUGAAAACAAGAGGACUUUUUCUGUGAAGUCAAGAAAGUGGUUACAAUGGUACUUUCAGCCUGUCCGAAUUAUGUAUUGCCCCUCCCCUUUUUAUUAAUAACAUUGAAGUGUGAUGGGACAACCACUGAAGCCGUCUGUUGAAACCUGCUGGGACUUUUUAGCCAUUCUCUUCAACAUAAAGAAUGGGUGUUUUUGGAGGGGGUGAGAGGAAUGGGGAAAUGUUGUCAAAGAGUACAAUGUUUUAGUUGAGACAGGAGGAAUAUAUUUUGUUGAGAUCUACAGCACAGCAUGGUGACUGUAGUUAACAAUGAAGUAUUGUGUAUUUCAAAAUUGCUAAGACAAUAAAUUUCAAAUGUUCUCACCACAAAAAA
rnacentral:lncRNA from 1 species